rnacentral:rRNA from 1 species
GACGAACGCUGGCGGCGUGCUUAACACAUGCAAGUCGAACGGGCCUUGUCCCCUUUUUUUUUGGGGGUGGGGUUAGUGGCGAACGGGUGAGUAACACGUGAGUAACCUGCCCCUCACUUCUGGAUAACCGCUUGAAAGGGUGGCUAAUACGGGGUGUUCUGGCCUGCUCGCAUGGGUGGGUUUGGAAAGAUUCGACCGGUUUUGGUUGUUUUGGUGGGGGAUGGGCUCGCGGCCUAUCAGCUUGUUGGUGGGGUGAUGGCCUGCCAAGGCUUUGACGGGUAGCCGGCCUGAGAGGGUGGGCGGUCACACUGGGACUGAGACACGGCCCAGACUCCUACGGGAGGCAGCAGUGGGGAAUAUUGCACAAUGGGCGCAAGCCUGAUGCAGCGACGCCGCGUGAGGGAUGGAGGCCUUCGGGUUGGGAACCUCUUUCGCCAGUGAAGAAGGUCCUGCUCUUUGUGGUGGGGUUGACGGUAGCGGGGUUAAUGAAGCGCCGGCUAACUACGUG